AGUAAUGUCUGGGAAACUGCCUGAUGGAGGGGGAGUAACUACUGGAAACGGUAGCUAAUACCGCAUAACGUCGCAAGACCAAGAGGGGGACCUUCGGGCCUCUUGCCAUCGGAUGUGCCCAGAUGGGAUUAGCUAGUAGGUGGGGUAAAGGGCUCACCUAGGCGACGAUCUCUAGCUGGUCUGAGAGGAUGAUCAGCCACACUGGGACUGAGACACGGCCCAGACUCCUACGGGAGGCAGCAUG
rnacentral:rRNA from 1 species